AGGCUGUAUCCCCCAGAACAGUCUGCUCUCCAGGACCACUGGAGCCCAGAAACCAAGGCAGAGACAGAAGAAAAGAGCCAAGGGAAGGCAAUGCCCCCACAACAAACACCUGAGGUGCCAGUACACCAAUAUGUAUGGCCUCCUGCAGCCAGGAGCAGUGGAGGAGUAGCCAGCACUCCUAUAUGUCCCUGGGGACUCACUCCCCAGCCCUGAUGAUUAUCCUGAUGAAGCUGCCACAUGCCCCUGCAAAUCAAGGAAAUUCUUCACUUACUGUAGAGCCACAGUUCUUUGCCCAUCAGCUCCCUCUGUGUCUGCAGGAGGCUCUGCAACCGGCGGUCAGUUCUCAUGUGCUCUACCUGCCCAGCUCUGCAAAACAAGACAGUAGCAUGCCAGGGAUCUACCAAAGCCAUCACAUACUGGAUGCACUGCAGAGUGAUGAAAGCAUUGCAGGACUAUUGUAGUUAUCUGGAGCAUGCCCAUCACCAUAGUAUCUGGGCAAUGUUAUUGUGGUGGCCAAGCACUAAAUACCCAGAUACCUGGUGAAUGUGCCUUUGAGGAGCUCCUCAGCUGAGGCAGGUGGCCCUGAGAAAGAAUCUGCCAGAGCACCUUGAUAUUUCUAUUAGACAUGGAGGGCAAAAAAGAUGCAAGUGAUGACAGCAAGGUCCAACACCGGACUAGGGCGCCCGUGGGGCUACUUCAUGCACCUGAACAAAGAGCCUUCUGGAAUGGACGGACAAAACAACGCAGUGUUCCUGGAGCCAGAAAGGGAAGCAGUGAGACGAGCUGCGGAGGUGACAUCUAGCCACCAAGAUGUCCAGGCCUUACCUUGGCCCCUGCUCUAUAACCGUUGCUGGAGCAGCAAUGGACUGAUUACUGGUCUCUUGUGGGUCACUUUGGCUCAGGUCUUCAACAGCCUGAGAAGCCAAACCGUGAAGUACUUGACAUAGCUAAUCCAGGUGAAUCUGUGUCUAUUGCAUUCAUGUCCCUGGAACUGUCUGACUAAGACUGGAUUUCAAGCCUGGAAGGGGGCUCCUCUCCCACCCCAGCUUUAGUAGGUGCUCAUAUAGUCGCAGUCACUGCUGACUCUUAGAUCCACACCCCUCUGACUGCACACUGGGAGCCUAGAUCCUUGCACCAGAGAGCUCCAUUUACACACCAAAUCACCUGGGCUGAGGCCUGCAACAGCUACUUCCAUUCAUUCACAAUGUUUACGGCGCCCUCAGGUGGUGAAAAGCAGAAAAAGAUAAGAUGUUUAGUAUUCAAA